rnacentral:rRNA from 1 species
UACGUAGGGUGCAAGCGUUGUCCGGAAUUAUUGGGCGUAAAGAGCUCGUAGGCGGUUCGUCGCGUCGGCUGUGAAAACCUGAGGCUCAACCUCAGGCCUGCAGUCGAUACGGGCGGACUUGAGUACUGCAGGGGAGACUGGAAUUCCUGGUGUAGCGGUGAAAUGCGCAGAUAUCAGGAGGAACACCGGUGGCGAAGGCGGUUCUCUGGGCCUUACCUGACGCUGAGGAGCGAAAGCGUGGGGAGCGAACAGG